rnacentral:rRNA from 1 species
GCCCCAGACUCCUACGGGAGGCAGCAGUGGGGAAUUUUGGACAAUGGGCGCAAGCCUGAUCCAGCUAUUCCGCGUGUGGGAUGACGGCCCUUGGGUUGUAAAGUACUUUCAGCGGGGAGGAAGGCGAUAAGGUUAAUAACCUUGUUGAUUGACGUUACCCGCAGAAGAAGCACCGGCUAACUCCGUGCCAGCAGCCGCGGUAAUACGGAGGGUGCAAGCGUUAAUCGGAAUUACUGGGCGUAAAGCGCACGCAGGCGGUCUGUCAAGUCGGAUGUGAAAUCCCCGGGCUCAACCUGGGAACUGCAUUCGAAACUGGCAGGCUGGAGUCUUGGAGAGGGGGGUAGAAUUCCAGGUGUAGCGGUGAAAUGCGUAGAGAUCUGGAGGAAUACCGGUGGCGAAGGCGGCCCCCUGGACAAAGACUGACGCUCAGGUGCGAAAGCGUGGGGAGCAAACAGGAUUAGAUACCCCUGUA